rnacentral:rRNA from 1 species
UACAGAGGGGGCAAGCGUUGUUCGGAAUUACUGGGCGUAAAGGGCGCGUAGGCGGCCAACUAAGUCGGACGUGAAAUCCCCGGGCUCAACCCGGGAACUGCGUCCGAUACUGGAUGGCUUGAAUCCGGGAGAGGGAUGUGGAAUUCCAGGUGUAGCGGUGAAAUGCGUAGAUAUCGUGAGGAACACCAGAGGCGAAGGCGGCUACCUGGACAAUUGCUGACGCUCAGGCACGAAAGCGUGGGGAGCAAAAGGG